rnacentral:lncRNA from 1 species
AUGAUCAUUAUUAUUAUUAUUAUUGUUAAUAAGGGUGAGAUAACCCAAGAGGAGAAAUUAGAGGAGUAUUCUGAGAUGAUAAUCUUCUACAGCAUCCCUUCAACACACUCUUUUUGGAUUUUAGGAUCACGAUUCAGAGGUUUCUGCUUCAAAAUCAUCCACAAUGGCAUGAAUCUUGAACAUUUCCGGCCGGAGCGUGGCAGGAGAGGUAUACUGUACAAAAUCCGACAGGCAAUUCUCCGGGCGAAUCCAGGAGAAGUUCACCACCUGAAACUGGAGAAAUGGCUUGUCUGGAACAAACAGGUGAGUUUUGAUGCCCAUCCUACACUUUGCACCUCCGCUAGCAGAGCAAGUCUGAAAGUGAGUGUGUGGUGUUCAGGGCAUCUAGACUGGAAGCUCCUUGCAGACAGGGAAUGUGUCUGCCAACUCUGUUGUACUGUACUCUCCCAAGCGCUCAGGACAGCUCUCUGCAUUCAGUAAGCACUCAGUAAAUGCCAGUGAUUCACUGAUUGAUUAUAGACUGUCCCUCUAGACUGUAAGCUCAUUACAUUUCCAACCCAUAUCUGCUAAUUCUGUCCCAGUGUACUCUCCCAAGCACUUAGUCUAGUGCACACAGAAAGCACUUAAUAAAUUCCUCUGAUUGAUUGGAAACUAUCUCCUAGAAUUUUCCUGUUGACAUCUGCUUCUGGGCAGGAAUUCCCGAUGGGAUACUGGUUUUUCGGGGGAAACCAUCCCUGAGAAUUGGGUUGACCCUGGGAAAUAAUUGAAGGGCAGGGUGUGAGGAGGGACACACAGAUCCCCUGCCCUUUCCCCAACCUUGAAUUUGCUGGACUGUCAGCUGGACAGCUUUUGUGCUUGCUAUUUGUUAGUAAAGCCCCCACCAGUUGACUCUGUCCUGAGAGGUAGGUAUGAGCACAAGGAUUGUAAGCUCGUUGUGGACAGGGCAUGUGUCUGUUAUAUUGUUGUACUGGACUCUCCCAAGCUCUUAGUACAGUGCUCUGCACACCAUAAGUGCUCAACACACCUCUAAACCUUCCCUUCUGGAGGACUGUACCACCCAUGGCCCCAUCCUGACAGCAGGGCUUGUCUGGGCAUUGACCUCUGUCCACAUUAGAGAGAUGAGCCUUAAGGCUGGAGAGAUGCAAAGAGCAGUUUAUGUAGAAUGAGUAGAGUCAGUUAGAUUCUCCCCUUGGCCUUCCUGCACUGAUCUGGAUGCUGCCAGGGAGUUGAGGCUUUAAGGCUUUACCCUCUUUGUUUUGUCCUCCCAUCUGCACCCCUGUUGACUUGAUCUCAGCUAGUAACCCACACAACUCUAUUUCUCAGAGAGGAAUAGGAUGGACAAACUGAUUGACACAUGGCCCUCCUCCUGACAUACAGCCCCAGGAGCUGCCACUGUCGGUCACAGAAGGGAUCCUCUUCUGAGGGCUGAGGAUGUCCAGGCUGACUCUGCAGACAGGACUGUGGGCACUUGGAGCUUUGUCCCAGCUAUAGAAUUAAGGGCCCUGGGUCUUCUCAGAUCCAUAACCAAGUCAGACAGAACCACUUCCCUGCACAGAGCCCUGGUUCCUGUUCCCAAAACUGACCUCUGAGAUAGUGGCAGCCCCCUCCUAGUUAUUCUUGUCCCCACCCAACAUUCUUUCUCACACUUACAUGAACUUCCCUUUGCAGAGGCAGGAAGGCCUUCUCAGUUGUAGGGCAAGUCUGGGAAUUGACCUCCAUGAGCCUACACUUCAGUGGAAGAGUCCUCCAGGCUGGGGAGAUACACUGACCAGUGUAUCUACGUAUGUCUGUAUGUCUCCCCCUACCCUUGGUCAACCUGUGCACCGCUGGGGGCAGGGAGAAGAGAAAGAAUAGGACUCAUGACUCACCCCCAAGUUCUGCAGUAAUCCUCAUGUAGAGCAGUGGAACAUGAUCUUGAGAGAUGACUGGAUUACUGAUCCCGAGGUCCAGGUUCUCCUAUCCUGCCCUCUGGAAAACAGCUGAGGUCCAUGUUUGUUACCUGACAUUUCAGUCUCAUAGCUGGGAAGGAGAAAUCAGCAGUUCCGAGCUGGAAAGAGAUGGGUAGGGGGUUAUAGGCAGCCUAAUUUGGGGCAAACACUAGACUCCUCAUCCC